CUAGACCUCAGUUUAACCAAGACUGAUGGCAGGCACGAGCUUCCUCUGAUUCCCGGAUAAUCUGGGGGCUCCUGACAGCACCUCAGAACAGCACUGACAGCAGCCGCCCUUCCUUCCUGCUGUGGUUUCACUGUCUAAACAACCUUUCCUGCUUUUCCGUUAUUUUCUCUGGUUUUGGGGGGCUUUGAACCCUGCCGUAUCAGCACUCCUGGAAGAACAGAGAACAGAGAGACUGCAGCUCGGUUGCUGGAAUCCAAGGCAACCACAGACAGGACCAGCCCUUGCGGUGAAGACAGAACCGUGCAGUUUCAGCAGGUACAAGAUCCACCCGGACACGGGCCAUGCUGCACCAGGCCUGCCGGAGGAGGAACCCUUGGCAGAUAAACUAGACUGUCUCUACAGAAGACAGAAAACAGGGCAGCCACAGGGAAUUCUAAGGAGAAGAACCCACCAGGCAGGCAAACGCCAGCCGGCCGUCACUGGUGCGUCUCUUGCGGGUGUGAUGGCCGAUCGGAUUCAGAAGCUCCAGGUUAGGAAAGCUCGUGGAGAGCAGGCUAUCACACCCGCGAGGAGGCAGAAAGGCCAAGCAGCAUCAAAGAAGGCAAUGUUGGCUGUUGCCAAGGCCCUGUAGAGGCAGCACCUAAGCAAAUGACUAUGAAGUCUGUGAAGGUCGCUGUUUUCUAGGUCA
rnacentral:sRNA from 1 species